GUUUACAAAAGCAAGAGCGGUAGCAAGCAGGACAGGGAGAAGACAGCAAGCAUUAGAUGUGCUCUGCAUGCAACAGAACAAGCUAUCUUGCUCAGGCAGAGGAAUUUAUAGCCCAGUCCUGAGGAGGCUUAAGAAAACGAAGAUUGGAAUAUUGGGGAUUACAUGAUUUCCAGGUGGCUUGUGCUAAUUCUUCAAUUUUAUAUCAGUGAAAAGUCACAGGACAGUUCAAGAUCCAUCCUUCUGUGGCCACAAAAAUCAUAAAAGAAUCGCCCCAAAUGGGGUGUGCUGAGGUCACCAUCUCCCCAGCCACUUCCUCUGUAAUGGCUCUGAUUACAGCACCUAUUGUUAUUAUCACCGUCAGAUAUCCUGGGGAAGAGUUUCAAGCUCUAAAACUCCUGAGGCAAGCAUGAUUACUUUAUAAUAAGAAGAGAGCAAGUGGUGUAG
ensembl:lncRNA